rnacentral:lncRNA from 1 species
AUUUUUUAUUUAUAAUUUUUUUCUUUCAACCAAACAACUGUAAUAAAAAAAUAUUAUUAUUUUUCCUGCAAACUAAAUAUUAAAAAAUGUAAAAUUUAUUUUCUUUCAAAAAAAUGUUUCUAUCAAAUUUUUUUUUCCACAGUGUAAAAACCAAACACAUCCUUAAUAAUAAUAGGAUAAACUUCAGAUACCAACCAUGUGGUGUCGCACUUUCUCACUUUAAUAUACCGUGGUUUAAAGUGUAUCAAGUUAGUAUUAUGUGAUUUCAUUUUUAUCUUUAAUAUUUUCAUCAGCUCUUCUGUUAAUAUUUUAUUAAAUUAUAUAUAAAAAACUUCAGAUAUUCCACCUAACUUUAUCGAAUAUUCACUUUAGUACUCUUUAGUUUUAACAUUGUCAUUGAUUUAACGAAAAGAAUUAAUAAAAUUCGAUAAUAAAAAAAUAAAAAUAAAAUCACAGAAAAUUAAAUUAAUGUAAUUUAAAUCACAUGAUACUAAAAUAAGAAAGUGUGACAUCACACGAGUAGUAUUUAAAGUUAUUUGAAGUUUUUCCACAAUAAUAAAAUGAAUUGAGUGCAG